GGGCAGCCGGUCAUCCACCACCACGUCCACCCACUCGCCAUACUGCCACAGCUGCAGGUAUAAAAACACCUGAUGUCACUUCCUGUAGAGGCUCCUCCCCCUUCCCCAUACUGCCACAGCUGCAGCACUCCCUGACAGAUGUCUGUUCGCUUCGCUCCAUCAACUAUAAACCGAGGAUCAGAACACAGCUCCUGAUUGGACGAGACAGCAGAGACCAGGACGACGUCCUCAAACGUCUCAAAGAUGUUCAGUUUACUGUCAUAGAGGAAAGAAACCAGGACAUAUUCACAUCUAAGAAGCUGGAAGCAGAACUUUGACUUUU